AAAAUAUUCAACCCGUUAACGUUACGUGAAAAUUCACGUAUCUAGCUAAUCUCACUCACACUAUUCACUAUACCUGAUACUCAUGAAACGUAAGCGAUGUAAUAUGAUAAUUAAAUUAAAUUUCGUGAAAUUCAUCCAAAUAAACUAUAAGAUUUACGUGAAUUUCAUAUCACUGUACAUGUCACUUAGAUGGGAACUCACUCAGAUUGUUUGUUCUGUCAGAAACGUCAGUCAGUCAGCCAGUCAGUAAUUCAGAUUGUUAUGGAUAGAAUUUUUUUGAAAAUAUUUUGUCUCAAGUUCUGAUUUCCCAUGGCUAUGCAUGCAGGAAUCGAUUGUUCAUGAGCCAACUAUUGCCGGACCAUGAACGAAAAGUUUUCAACUCUAACUUAACCUCAACUGCUCAUCCCAUCAUGUUAUUUUCGCACGAUGUACACGAUUUCUUCCGGCGUUCUGAUUCAGUUCGAGCAUCAGAAGUUUCCACCAAAUUUGCUCUACCUUGAAAAUCUGUCCGACGAAACUAUUACGGGAAGCUCCGACACAAGUUUUUCAAGCCCAAAAAUCCCGAAAAAGAUAUGUUGUCUUUUAGCGGAAUAUGCUGUUUCGGGAUUUCUCGGUGUAGAAAAACUUGUGUCGUUUCCCUUGAUCAACACCCUAAGGAUGUACAUAAAUAUGUUUAGAUUAUCAAUUCUGAAAUAAAAACUGGAAACGAAUUUUGUGUUAUAUCUUUAAUUUUCGAUAAAGUAAAAG